GAUGAAUGCUGGCGGCGUGGAUGAGGCAUGCAAGUCGAAUGAAUUUAGAUUCAUGGCAGACGAGGUAGGAACACGUAGGUACGUACCCUAAAGUCAGGGAUAAUCCGUCGAAAGGCGGGAUAAUACUUGAUGGUCCCUUCGGGGUAAAGAUUUAUCGCUUUAGGAACGGCCUGCGGGCUAUCAGCUUGUUGGUAAGGUAACGGCUUACCAAGGCUACGACGGCUAGGGGAGGUGAGAGCCUGACCCCCACCGAUGGAACUGCGACACGGUCCAUACUCCUACGGGAGGCUGCAGUCGAGAAUCUUCCGCAAUGGACGAAAGUCUGACGGAGCGACGCCGCGUGGUGGAUGAAGCCCUUUGGGGCGUAAACACCUUUUAUGAGGGAGGAAGUUUAUUGACGUUACCUCAUGAAUAAGGGGCUCCCAACUCUGUGCCAGCAGGAGCGGUAAUACAGAGGCCCCAAGCAUUAUCCGGAUUCACUGGGCGUAAAGGGUGCGUAGGCGGUGUGAUUAGUCAGGUGUUAAAUCCUGGGGCUUAACCUCAGAAUCGCAUUUGAAACGGUCAUACUAGAAGAAGUGAGAGGUAAACAGAACUCUCGGUGUAGGGGGUGAAAUCCGUUGAUAUCGAGGGGAAUACCAAAUGCGAAGGCAGUUUACUGGCACUUUCUUGACGCUGAGGCACGAAAGCGUGGGUAGCGAAUCGGAUUAGAUACCCGAGUAGUCCACGCCCUAAACGCUGUCUGUUGGUUAUGGGGAGAAUCGACCCUCUCCGUGACGAAGUUAACACGUUAAACAGACCGCCUGGGUAGUACGAGCGCAAGCUUAAAACUCAAAGGAAUAGACGGGGGCUCGCACAAGCGGUGGAUCAUGAGGCUUAAUUCGUCGAUAAGCGAAAAACCUUACCGAGGCUAGAAACCAUACUGCAUACUCUCUGAAAGGAGAGUAGCCUUCGAGGGUGUAUGGCAGGUGAUGCAUGGCCGUCGUCAGUUCGUGGCUUGAGCUGUUCCCUUAAGUGGGGAAACGAACGCAACCCUCGUUGCCUGUUACAAGUGUCAGGCGAGACUGCUCCCUCACGGGAGAGGAAGGUGAGGAUGACGCCAGGUCAGCAUGUCCCUUGAUGCCUCGGGCUGCACUCGUGAUACAAUGGGACGUACAAAGGGACGCAAUACCGUAAGGUGGAGCAAAUCCUGAUAAAACGUUCCUCAGUUCGGAUUGUGGGCUGCAACUCGCCCACAUGAAGCCGGAAUCGCUAGUAAUCGUGAAUCAGCACGUCACGGUGAAUACGUUCCCGAGCCUUGUACUCA
rnacentral:rRNA from 1 species